CGAGCAGGCCGGCUGGGACAGGUCACUGCCUGGAGCCCCGCACGCCAGCCUAGGCCAAGCGCACCCACAGGCCUUCCCAAGUCUCCAGGCGGCGGCCCCGCCCCUUCCGGUUGGGCGCCCCUGGACUUCCGGUUCCUCCUCUGUGUCUGGUCUGUUGUAGGUGUCGGGUCGCAAUCAUCUCCGUCUCAAGGCCUGUCGCUCGUCACCCGUCACACACAGCCUCCCCGGCCCCACAAGGCCGUUCUCAGUGACUUCGAGGGGAAGCUUCAUAAUCCAUGUCCAACAAUCAAACAAGUCAUGUGUCCUGGAAUCAGACUGGCCGAGGGAAAACUAAAUGGCCUUUUCUGAAGUGAACAACAUCUUAAUUGCUUUGAGAUCCAAAUCAUAGUUGACGAAGCUCCAUGGACAUUGAGGAUCACACUGGCCUCAGGGCUGGGGAGGAUGGAGUUACGGAUGGCUGUGAGGAGCCUCCCCAUGGCCACUCUGGGUGCCCAGACUGCUCCGCUGGUGUUGGCAUCUCACUGACGGGACGGAAAGGUGUGGUUUCCACCAGGCUGGAGCCAGAUGGCACCCACAGAAGCAGAUAGAAAACAGAGAGGGCCAGAAGUGAUCUUAAGACCAUGUCGAUAACUCACAGUCGUGAGGUUGCCAGGGAUGGGGGUAUUGCCAGGGAAGUAUUGGGAGUUUGGGGUUAGCAGAUGUGAACUGGUAAAAUAGGAUGGAUUAACAACCAAGUCCUCCUGUAGAGCACAGGGAACUCUACUCAGUAUCUUGUGAUAGACAAUAAUGGGACCAUAAUGGGAAAGAACAUACGUAUAUAUGUGUAACUCAGUAACUUUGCUGUACGGUAGAAAUGAACACAACGUUGUAAAUUGACUAUACUUCAACAAAAUUAAAAAACAAACAAACAGUGCUGAUGUUUAAAACAGAUGUCCCAGGUGGGGACAAGUGGCCAUGCUGAUCCACAGAGUUUUCAGGCCUGACCCCCACACUCCUCAUUUAUACAGUCCUUCCCAGACUGGUAGAAUUUCUUUUUGCAAAAUUAUCCCUGUCUAAUCCAUAGAGACGAAAGUGGAUUAGUGGUUGCCAGGGGCUGAGGGGGGAGGGGCAGGAGAUGGGGAGUGACUGCUAAUGGGUGUGGGAUUCUUUGGGGGGCGAUGACAGUGUUCUGGAAUUAGUGGCGAUGGCUGCUCGGCUCUUGAACGUGCUGAAAACGUGGCACUGUACAGUCUAAAAGGGUGCAUUGGGUGGUGUGGCAGUGACAUCUCAAUAAAGCUAUUUAAGAAGUACCCGUGCCGCUCGUUGCUGGCCCGACUCCAGCUUCUGGACCUCUGGUCUCCAGCUAUGGUGGCAGGCUCCCAGGAGGUGACUCUGCCAGUCCUGCCGGCUGUACUGGACUCUGUCGUCAGCCUUUGCUUCUGCCCAAACACUUGCAGAAGUUGUCACGUGCAGAGCGCUUGAGGACCAAGCUGGGGUCAGAAUUCUGAGCUGCACCUGAAGCAUAGAGGGCCUGGACUUGUGCUGCAGCGUGACACUGAUGUGUAAAGUCCCUGUAGGAGGAAAACCAGAGUGCGCCGUGGGAUCCAGGCAACGGGGUGGAAGGAGACAAGGGGCCUUUUCUUUCUGGACUCUUGGCAACGACCGGACCCUCUGAAAAGAUUCAUGGUUACCCGUCAUUAGGUCAGCAGGGAGACGGCAGAGCUGCCCAGAAUCAGGCCUCGGGUCCCCCAGCACCGGGGCUGGGGCAUGGACAGUGACAGCCCCGUCAGCAAGUUCCUGCUGGGGCGCCGCAGGUGCCUUGGGCAGCCCUACCGUGUUCGCUCUUCUUUCUCUUGCCAUCCCUUUAUUUUAAAUGUUUAAUGAAUUAAAAAAACUAGUAGUCUAGACAGGCUUAGAAACAGGAACUUCCUUCUCCUAGCCUCGACAUGGGAUGUCUCCAGGGGACACAUUGGUGUCUUGAGGACUGGCUUGCAGAGGGCCACCACUAGGCCCAGGGAGUGGCACUUGCGGGAUAGAAAAUGAAAGCAGGCAGAAUCUGGGUGUAAAAAGUGGGGUCUCCAGGACUACAGAGAUGUCGCCAAGACCACACUGCUUAUUGGCGUCCUCCCACAGCUCUGCUCUGCCUGGGCCCAUCCACCUCCUGCUGGCACCACACCCGCUGCAGAAAAAGGUGACCUUCUGAUGCCCUUGGGCCACACGCCACCUUCCUCCUGCCUCACUGGUCAAAGAAGGAGCCCUGGGCCAGACAGGGGUCUCCAGAAGAGUGAAGAGAGACCACAGCUGCGGAUCCACCGGCGGCACAGCCCAGCCACCGCCCAGGAGCAGCCCGUAGAUUCCAGAGAAAGCUCCUGGCUCUGUGCAGCACCUCCUGGACGCAGCCCCCGCCCCCAACCCCCACAAGGCCCAGUGGAUGGGAGCGACCAUUUGCUGUAGCCUCGGGCCGCGGCUCAGGGUUGUGCUGCAGCCGCACCGGGAGGAGUCCCUGUGCCAGGUCGGCGGGGCCUGCUCUCCUUCCCCGGGCAGGACCGGGAACCGGAACCGGAGGACGGCAGCCCCGCUCAGCAACACUUCUCUUUGUUUACCAGGCACGCCAGGCGGCGGGCCUGCUCUCUCUCCAGCCGCUCUCUCUGCCAGCUUCACGUCCAGCGAGGGACAAAGGGGCCUGCGGCGGAUUAGCUGCCCGGCGGGCAGGCCCGCGGUUCCCGCGGCGGCAGCUGCUCGCCGGCCUUGCCAAGGCGGCCGUCCUGUCCCGUCCCGUUCACUGAGGGCGGAGCGCGGCCCGGGCAGGACGCCUUCUGUGUUUAUCUGCAAGGCCGACCCCGUCCCCGCCCCGUCGGGCCGGCCGGGCCAGGCUGGGGGCCGCGGGGUCAGCGGCGGACAAUGGGCGGGCGCGCGCGCGUCCGCCCGACUCCGGGCCUUUGUUGCGGGAGCCUCGUGCCGAUGGGUUAAUGGGGCAGAAGCGAUCGGUGAAGGGCGACAGAAGUGGGCUUUGAAAGAGGGUGUCAGCGCAGGGCGGCGAGACAAAGGCCAAAACACACACGGGCGGAGAGGGACAGAUGGGGACGGGCGGCGGAGACAAUUAGGCGGCGGGCGCGGGGCGGGCGCGGCUCCAUCGUUCUGCGGUUAACCAGGCCCGGGCGCGCCGCCCCUUCGCCUCUGCGCCCGGGAGGGAGGGACGGGGGGCGGGGUAUCCCCUCCCCAUAAACAGCCGCAGAGCAGGUCCUGGGCAGCCCGCCGGCCACCCCUGUUUUCCUGCCUGACGGCCUGGGAACACAUCACGCAGCCAGCGCCCCCGGACCGGCUCGCAGGACCAGCUCGAGGACUGGUCGGUCCGCGGGAUGCUAGCCGGGCCCGCCAGGCGGCGCUGCUUCCCGCCCGGCCGCGGCCGGCUCUGCAACCCGAUGCUGUUUAAUUAACGUGCAAAUUGAGUAGAUUAAAUGACUCUAAAUAAUUAGCCACAGAUCCUAUAAACAGGAUAACAUAUUUAAUUAAGCAGCGAUAUAGAUUUUGGAAACUGUUAAUGUAUUUUUAGAAUGGCCGCUUAGAUCUUUCACUUUCCCCCCCUAACUUCAAACAUGUAACUACAGCCC
ensembl:lncRNA